ensembl:lncRNA
CUGACGGGCCGUCCCCAAGUGAUGGACCAGAAACACACUUGGGUCUGUAGCUGCCAUUUCCGGUGGGAAAGAGAAAGGGCCCUGUAUUUACCAGAAAAGGUAGCUCAUCCACCAUGGCAGAAGAGGAAGAUCAAGACUGUUGAUUGGGAAACAAGAACAAACAGCGAGUCAUGAGGAUUGGGAGUUGAGGGACCAGUUGUCACAUUGUCCAAGGAGUGAAUCCUUCAGGCAGUGCUCAGGCUCACCCCACCAGAAGCAGUACACGAUCAACGCCACCCUCAGCUAGGUGACCUGCUGGAAGUGAUGUACUCUCUCACUCUGGGGGACACCAAGGUUGACUGUGUGCAGGGGCUGCAUUAGACGUGGCUCGGGAAGCGCACACUCCGCCUAAGUGGAGCAGAAGGGACCCACCUCGGACCCUCCAGGGAGCGUCAGUGAAUGGAUAUGCUAUUCCGAAAAAUAUAAUUAAGGGUG